rnacentral:rRNA from 1 species
GUCUAUGGCCAUACCACGCUGAACGCACCCAGUCUCAUCUGAUCUCGGAAGCUAAGCAGGGUCGGGCCUGGUUAGUACUUGGAUGGGAAACCAGAGGAGUAGGGAAAAGCUGUUUGCCACUGGUA